GGAAAACGGGUGGUAAUGCCGGAUGCUCCGACUCCUCGCAUGGGGUGUCGGGAAAGAUUUCAUCGGUAUGGGAUGGGGUCGCGUCCUAUCAGGUAGUCGGCGGGGUAACGGCCCACCGAGCCUACGACGGGUAGCCGGCCUGAGAGGGCGACCGGCCACAUUGGGACUGAGAUACGGCCCAGACUCCUACGGGAGGCAGCAGUGGGGAAUAUUGCACAAUGGGCGCAAGCCUGAUGCAGCGACGCCGCGUGCGGGAUGACGGCCUUCGGGUUGUAAACCGCUUUUGAUCGGGAGCAAGCCUUCGGGUGAGUGUACCUUUCGAAUAAGCACCGGCUAACUACGUGCCAGCAGCCGCGGUAAUACGUAGGGUGCAAGCGUUAUCCGGAAUUAUUGGGCGUAAAGGGCUCGUAGGCGGUUCGUCGCGUCCGGUGUGAAAGUCCAUCGCUUAACGGUGGAUCUGCGCCGGGUACGGGCGGGCUGGAGUGCGGUAGGGGAGACUGGAAUUCCCGGUGUAACGGUGGAAUGUGUAGAUAUCGGAA
rnacentral:rRNA from 1 species